UACGUAGGGGGCAAGCGUUGUCCGGAUUUAUUGGGCGUAAAGAGCGUGUAGGCGGCUUUACAGGUCCGUUGUGAAAACUCGAGGCUCAACCUCGAGACGCCGGUGGAAACCGUAAGGCUAGAGUCCGGAAGAGGAGAGUGGAAUUCCUGGUGUAGCGGUGAAAUGCGCAGAUAUCAGGAGGAACACCCCGUGGCGAAAGCGGCUCUCUGGGGACGGUACUGACGCUGAGACGCGAAAAGCGUGGGGAGCAAACAGG
rnacentral:rRNA from 1 species